CCUACGGGAGGCAGCAGUGGGGAAUAUUGGGCAAUGGGCGCAAGCCUGACCCAGCAACGCCGCGUGAAGGAAGAAGGCUUUCGGGUUGUAAACUUCUUUUGACAGGGAAGAGUAGAAGACGGUACCUGUCGAAUAAGCACCGGCUAACUACGUGCCAGCAGCCGCGGUAAUACGUAGGUGGCAAGCGUUGUCCGGAUUUACUGGGUGUAAAGGGCGUGUAGCCGGGUUGACAAGUCAGAUGUGAAAUCCCGCGGCUUAACCGCAGAACUGCAUUUGAAACUGUUGAGCUGGAGUACCGGAGAGGCAGACGGAAUUCCUAGUGUAGCGGUGAAAUGCGUAGAUAUUAGGAGGAACACCAGUGGCGAAGGCGGUCUGCUGGACAGCGACUGACGGUGAGGCGCGAAAGCGUGGGGAGCAAACAGGAUUAGAUACCCUAGUAGUC
rnacentral:rRNA from 1 species